AGUUCGAUUGGUCAUAGCUGAGACAAGGCCAGGAGGAGUGGGCCAGGCGUUGGACGGGAGUCUCGCAGCACUAAUGCCUCCUUGAAGUAUCUGUCACUCCCACCACAGAUGCUGGGGCUGAGGUUGAAUCUGAAGGAGGAGUGGGUACCGGGGAAGGAAGGAACACAUAUGCACAGGCCACACAGGAGAGCCUGAGAGCGAAUGUGAUGUGCUGAGCCUGGCAGGAAAAUGUGGUGGGUAGGAAAGUCAAGGAGGGCACUGGAUGGAGGGCAUGGACAGGAUAAGAAGAUUUUAUUUAUCCUGCUGAUGUAUCUAUUUGGGAGCAAAGUUGUCUGUUCUGACCACUCUGGUAGUGGACUGAGUACAUUGUAGGAAGAGAGUAAAAUGAACAAACCAACCACCAGAAGCCCACGGAAACUGAGGUUUUCAUUCCGUGUUUUCAUUCAAAUGGUUUUGUUCAGAGGUAUUCAGGAAAGCCUGUGACUAUCAGCUACAUUGUGAAUUUUUUCAGGUAUAACCACAUACCAUAAAAAAUUUGCCAUUUUAAAGUGUACAAUUCACCUGGUUUUAAGGAUGUUCAAAAAUUGUGCACAUUGCACUACUAAUUCCAACAUUUCCACCAUCCCCAAAGAAACCCCCACACCCAUUAGCACUGCCUCCUCGUUCCCUCCCCCACAGCCCCCACUAAUCUACUUCUAGUCUGGGUGGGUUUGCCAAUUCUGGACGUGUCAUAUAAAUGGAAUCAUACAACAUGUGGUCUUCAGUGACUGGCUUCUUUCACUUAGCAGAAUGUCUGCAAGGGUCACCCAUAUUGUAGGAUGAUUCACUACUCCAUCAAAUUCUAUGAUGAGUUUAUAGUUUUUCCAACAAGAAAACCAGGUGUGUGCCACCACACCCAGCUUAUUUUUGUAUUUUUAGUAGAGACAGGGUUUCACCAUAUUGGCCGGGCUGGUCUCGAACUCCUGACCUCAAGUAAUCCACCCGUCUUGGCCUCCCAAAGCGCUGGGAUUACAGAUGUGAGUCACUGCACCCAGCCAAGAAGUACAUAUUUGGCCCUUAGGCUUUCUGGCCUUGUCUUUUAUACUGAAUCACCAUUCUCCUCCAAUUGAUGGAGCAUACUUACUACCUCUCCCAAGUAGGAAGAGGCAUGCAUGACUUCUAUCAUUCCCUUUUUAACUGUGGUAAGAGAGAUGGAAACAGCUGUAGAACAUUCUCCGUAUUUACUACUGAUGAUGAGUUCUGAGUAAUAAUUUUUUUUGGGGGAAGGGAGAAAUGGCAAUUUAUUAUCUAUUUUUGGGGCAACUCUAAAAUUUAAUUCUGUUCCAUUCAAGGUAUUUAAAAUAAGGAGCACACAAGUUUACUUGUUCAUGAUGUAGCCUUUGAAUUAUCUUAAUAGAUGUCACUUUUUUUUGCAAUGUGUAUCAUAUAUACCUAAGAGAACAAGCCAAAGGAACAGCCUGAGGUUCCCCCCAAGCCUCUAAGCCCCACACACUUUCAAAUUACAUGGUAAAUUUUACUUAUCGUAAGGAUUUCAUCAACUCUUAAGACUCAUGUUCCUGCUUUCAAGGAGCUUGCGGUUGUGAUGGGAAGACAUUCAGGCCACCAACAAUAUAACAUUGCCAAAAUAAGUUACAAAUAUUUUUAACGUGUCAUAGGAUAUAUUUAUGUGCAUUCUGAUCUUAUUUUCUUUGUUGCUGGCUCUCUUUCCUCCAGCAAACUGAGCCAGAAUCAAACUCUCCGAAACAGCAAUACGUAACUGAACCGAAGCAUACUGGCCGGUAGUAACAGAGGGUUCGAUUAUGGCUCAGAUUGAACGCUGGCGGGAUGCUUUACACAUGCAAGUCGAACGGCAGCACGGACUUCGGUCUGGUGGCGAGUGGCGAACGGGUGAGUAAUGUAUCGGAACGUGCCUAGUAGGGGAUACGCGAAAGCGUGAGAAGCAUACCGCAUACGCCCUUCGGGGGAAAGCGGGGGACCUUCGGGCCUCGCACUAUUAGAGCGGCCGAUAUCGGAUUAGCUAGUUGGUGGGGUAACGGCUCACCAAGGCGACGAUCCGGUAGCUGUUUGAGAGACCAGCCACACUGGGAUCAGACACGGCCCAGACUCCUACGGGAGGCAGCAGUGGGGAAUUUUGACAAUGGGGGAAACCCUGAUCCAGCCAUCCCGCGUGUGCGAUGAAGGCCUUCGGGUUGUAAAGACUUUGCAGAAAGAAACGGCACGGGAUAAUACCCCGUGCAACUGACGGUACCUGCAGAAUAAGCACCGGCUAACUACGUGCCAGCAGCCGCGGUAAUACGUAGGGUGCAAGCGUUAAUCGGAAUUACUGGGGCGUAAAGCGUGCAGGCGGUUCGGAAAGAAAGAUGUGUGAAAUCCCAGAGCUUAACUUUGGAACUGCAUUUUUAACUGAGCUAGAGUGCGUCAGAGGGAGGUGGAAUUCGCGUAGCAGUGAAAUACGUAGAUAUGGAGGAACACCGAUGGCGAAGGCAGCCUCCCGGGAUAACACUGACGCUCAUGCACGAAAGCGUGGGGAGCAAACAGGAUUAGAUACUCCUGCAGUCCACGCCCUAAACGAUGUCAACUAGCUGUUAAAGCCUUCGGGCUCGGUAGCGCAGCUAACGCAGGAAGUUGACCGCCUGGGGAGUACGGUCGCAAGAUUAAAACUCAAAGGAAUUGACGGGACCCGCACAAGCGGUGGAUGAUGUGGAUUAAUUCGAUGCAACGCGAAAACCUUACCUAAAUUCUUGACAUGUCUGGAAUCCCGAAGAGAUUUGGGAGUGCUCGCAAGAGAACCGGAACACAGGUGCUGCAUGGCUGUCGUCAGCUCGUGUCGUGAGAGAUGUUGGGUUAAGUCCCGCAACGAGCAACCCUUGUCAUUAGUUGCUACGAAAGGGCACUCUAUCGAGACUGCCGGUGACAAACCGAGGAAGGUGGGGAUGACGUCAAGUCCUCAUGGCCCUUAUGGGUAGGGCUUCACACGUCAUACAAUGGUCGGGACAGAGGGUCGCCAACCCGCGAGGGGGAGCCAAUCCCAGAAACCCGAUCGUCCGGAUCGCAGUCUGCAACUCGACUGCGUGAAGUCGGAAUCGUUAGUAAUCGCGGAUCAGCAUGUCGCGUGAAUACGUUCCCUGGUCUUGUACACACCGCCCGUCACACCAUGGGAGUGGGUUUUACCAGAAGUAGUUAGCCUAACCGUAAGGAGGGCGAUUACCACGGUAGGAUUCAUGACUGGGGUGAAGUCGUAACAAGGUAA
rnacentral:misc_RNA from 1 species